rnacentral:rRNA from 1 species
GAUGAACGCUGGCGGCGUGCCUAAUACAUGCAAGUCGAGCGAACGGACGAGAAGCUUGCUUCUCUGAUGUUAGCGGCGGACGGGUGAGUAACACGUGGAUAACCUACCUAUAAGACUGGGAUAACUUCGGGAAACCGGAGCUAAUACCGGAUAAUAUUUUGAACCGCAUGGUUCAAAAGUGAAAGACGGUCUUGCUGUCACUUAUAGAUGGCUCCGCGCUGCAUUAGCUAGUUGGUAAGGUAACGGCUUACCAAGGCAACGAUGCAUAGCCGACCUGAGAGGGGGAUCGGCCACACUGGAACUGAGACACGGCCCAGACUCCUACGGGAGGCAGCAGUAGGGAAUCUUCCGCAAUGGGCGAAAGCCUGACGGAGCAACGCCGCGUGAGUGAUGAAGGUCUUCGGAUCGUAAAACUCUGUUAUUAGGGAAGAACAUAUGUGUAAGUAACUGUGCACAUCUUGACGGUACCUAAUCAGAAAGCCACGGCUAACUACGUG